rnacentral:rRNA from 1 species
UACGUAGGGUGCGAGCGUUGUCCGGAAUUAUUGGGCGUAAAGAGCUUGUAGGCGGUUUGUCGCGUCUGCUGUGAAAAUCCGGGGCUCAACCCCGGACUUGCAGUGGGUACGGGCAGACUGGAGUGUGGUAGGGGAGACUGGAAUUCCUGGUGUAGCGGUGGAAUGCGCAGAUAUCAGGAGGAACACCGGUGGCGAAGGCGGGUCUCUGGGCCGAAACUGACGCUGAGGAGCGAAAGCGUGGGGAGCAAACAGG